CUCCAUCCGGUUCGACAGGUUCCGGUUCAACUUUCGCUUCGUCUGGUCCGGUUCCCGGGGAUUCCUCUUUCGGAUCUGUAGAGUUCGACUCGUUUACCGAAUGGUUCUCCCGCUCGGACUCUUCCCUGCCAUUAACGGGCCGUCGGGUAAUGUUCUCCGUUUCGUUUUCUUCCUUUUUUUCACUUCCCUUUUCUCGCUCCAGAUCCGAUUUUUCAGUUUCCUUUCCGUUCUCUGUCAAGCUCUGUUCUCUCUCUUCUUUUAAUUUCUGCACCUUCAUUUGUAAGGACCUGUAAAGUAACAGAAAAAUGUUAUCGAUUUUUGCCCCCCACCCCAAAAGAAGUAAUUUAAUAUUUUUAUAAAAAAUGAUUUAGUAAUAAUUUACACGAUGGAGAGAUCAUAUUGUUGAACUUCGCGGCGUAGUUCGGCGACGCGGAGUCUCCGGAGCUCAUCAAGCCAAGGAACGGUGCUGGUGG
rnacentral:lncRNA from 1 species